AUUCCAGCUCCAGUAGCGUAUAUUAAAGUUGUUGCAGUUAAAAAGCUCGUAGUUGGAUUUCUGAUAGUAGCGUUGGGCCCGCCCGGGUUACCGGUGUGAGUGCCUGUUCGCUCCUUUCAUCCUUCUAGAGAACGGUUCUCUCCUUCAUUGGCAGUGGAAUCGCAAUCUAGAUCUUUUACUUUGAAAAAAUUAGAGUGUUUAAAGCAGGCUUGUGCUAUGAAUACAUUAGCAUGGAAUAAUAAUUUAGGACUUUAGUUCUAUUUUGUUGGUUUCUAGAACUGAAGUAAUGAUUGAUAGGGAUAGUUGGGGGUGCUAGUAUUCAGCGGCCAGAGGUGAAAUUCUUGGAUUCGCUGAAGACUAACUUAUGCGAAAGCAUUCACCAAGGAUGUCUUCAUCA
rnacentral:rRNA from 1 species